rnacentral:rRNA from 1 species
GACGAACGCUGGCGGCGUGCCUAACACAUGCAAGUCGAACGGACAGGCCCUGCUUUUGUGGGGUGCUCGAGUGGCGAACGGGUGAGUAACACGUGAGUAACCUGCCCUUGACUUUGGGAUAACUUCAGGAAACUGGGGCUAAUACCGGAUAGGAGCUCCCGCUGCAUGGUGGGCGUUGGAAAGUUUCGGCGGUUGGGGAUGGACUCGCGGCUCAUCAGCUUGUUGGUGGGGUAGUGGCUUACCAAGGCAUGGACGGGUAGCCGGCCUGAGAGGGUGACCGGCCACCUUGGGACUGAGAUACGGCCCAGACGCCUACGGUAGGCAGCGGUGGGGAAUAUGGUACAGUGGGCGGGAGCCUGAUGCAACAGCGCCGCGUGCGGGAUGACGGCCUUCUGGUAGUAAACCGCAUUCGCCUGAGACGAAGCGGUAGUGACGGUAAUGGGUAAAGAAGCACCGGCUAACUACGUG